rnacentral:lncRNA from 1 species
CUCAACUUCUCUGAUCUUUGACAAUCACAUAAAAUAAUGGGUGUACUCAAGGUUGGCCGUGAAUACAAGAAAUCAGGCAGAAGGGCCUCUGCUCCAGGCAGGUGCUCAGCAAACUACUAGAAAGUGUCACUGGUGUGUCCACCAUUAAGUUUCAAAAAAGAAGUCAUCUGAGGCCUGGCUGGAUUCCUGCAUUCCAGCUCAGGUAUAUUGUGUUUUCUAGAACAGAGAUUCUAGGACUUUCUAAGAACUCAGUGCUUUGCAGGACUCAGGCAUUAGCUCUGCCCGCAAUCCAUGAGGGAAAAGCUGGGUCAGGCAAGGCAGAUCUCCAGGUAAGGCCAGGGCCCGGUCCUGGAGAAGGACUUCACUUCAGAGGUUACUUCAUAGCUAGACUUCAGUGACAUUGUUGCAAGGCAGUCCCUCGAGGGGUUAACACAGCUGCAUCCCCUGAGUUACAGCUCCAGUGUUCGUAAAGGCUUCACCUCAGCCUGAGUGGCUGGCCACUGUGUGGAAACUACUGGGCUUGUUCCGUACUCUGUGGCUGAGCUCGGGAGACAUUGCACACUCAUUCUCGGGAAUAUGACUGCCUCCUAUUCUGCUGAGGAGUGUGUCGUACGUCGCCAUCUCUGGACUCACAAUCUGAAUGCAAUCUUUAGAAGAUGUAUGUAGAAUCUUUAAUACAAGACGGGAGACAGAAGCCCAGAAGGAUCCAAACGAUUAAAAAGAACAACACAGAAAGAAAAGGAGUGAAGUCCCCCAAGGUGUGUCUAGGAGGAGUGUGCCCGAGGUCUGCCUCCUUGGUUUCCUUGCCGCUGCUGUCCCUGUAGGCUGCGCGACCUCUCGAGCUGAUUGGGCGCGCUUCAUUUUUAAUUUCAAACUUAGUGUCUAAAGAGCCAUCAAUUCAGGGGUUCAAAAGCCUUGUCGUGCCCGCAUUCACACACUCCCGUGUGUUGCUAGUGUCUUUUGGCCACAGAGGCAACAGUGUACUGGCAGGGUGCUUUCCCUGUGCCUGGGGCAGCUCUUACACUCAUCGGCACCGAAGCCACUUUCUUGAACACCCUGU